rnacentral:rRNA from 1 species
AGUGAACGCUGGCGGUAGGCCUAACACAUGCAAGUCGAACGGCAGCACAGUAAGAGCUUGCUCUUACGGGUGGCGAGUGGCGGACGGGUGAGGAAUACAUCGGAAUCUACUUUUUCGUGGGGGAUAACGUAGGGAAACUUACGCUAAUACCGCAUACGACCUACGGGUGAAAGCAGGGGAUCUUCGGACCUUGCGCGAUUGAAUGAGCCGAUGUCGGAUUAGCUAGUUGGCGGGGUAAAGGCCCACCAAGGCGACGAUCCGUAGCUGGUCUGAGAGGAUGAUCAGCCAACAUGGAACGGAGACACGGUCCAGACUCCUAAGGGAGGCAGCAGUGGGGAAUAUUGGACAAUGGGCGCAAGCCUGAUCCAGCCAUACCGAGUGGGUGAAGAAGGCCUUCGGGUUGUAAAGCCCUUUUGUUGGGAAAGAAAAGCAGCAGGUUAAUACCCCGCUGUUCUGACGGUACCCAAAGAAUAAGCACCGGCUAACUUCGUG